rnacentral:rRNA from 1 species
ACGGCUCAGUAACACGUCGGUAACCUACCCUCGGGAGGGGGAUAACCCCGGGAAACUGGGGCUAAUUCCCCAUAGGCCUGAGGUACUGGAAGGUCCUCAGGCCGAAAGGGACUUAUGUCCGCCCGAGGAUGGGCCGGCGGCCGAUUAGGUAGUUGGUGGGGUAAUGGCCCACCAAGCCGAAGAUCGGUAUGGGCUGUGAGAGCAGGAGCCCGGAGAUGGACACUGAGACACGGGUCCAGGCCCUACGGGGCGCAGCAGGCGCGAAACCUCCGCAAUGCGGGAAACCGCGACGGGGGGACCCCGAGUGCCGUGGCAACGCCACGGCUUUUCCGGAGUGUAAAAAGCUCCGGGAAUAAGGGCUGGGCAAGGCCGGUGGCAGCCGCCGCGGUAAUACCGGCGGCCCGAGUGGUGGCCGCUAUUAUUGGGCCUAAAGCGUCCGUAGCCGGGCCCGUAAGUCCCUGGCGAAAUCCCACGGCUCAACCGUGGGGCUUGCUGGGGAUACUGCGGGUCUUGGGACCGGGAGAGGCGGGGGGUACCCCUGGGGUAGGGGUGAAAUCCUAUAAUCCCAGGGGGACCGCCAGUGGCGAAGGCGCCCCGCUGGAACGGGUCCGACGGUGAGGGACGAAGGCCAGGGGAGCAAACCGGAUUAGAUACCCGGGUAGUCCUGGCUGUAAAGGAUGCGGGCUAGGUGUCGGGUGAGCCUCGAGCUCGCCCGGUGCCGUAGGGAAGCCGUUAAGCCCGCCGCCUGGGGAGUACGGCCGCAAGGCUGAAACUUAAAGGAAUUGGCGGGGGAG